UGCGGAAUGACAGUCUCAAAACAGUCUCGGACAUUCUUAAGGCAGAACACUACUGCAAAGGACUUGUUAUUUGUUGUGUAUACUGUGAGCAAAGAAGCAAUGCAUAUAUUGCCUUUGUCUGGAUUGCCCUGUGUGGAUUUUGUGUACAUUUGUGGAUUCAUGUGCGUGUGUGUGUGGAUCUCUCGCGCGUGCAUUUGUAGGAGGUUUUGAUACCGUUUUCAUUCAAUAAUAGCCUAUAACCACAGUUUUACUACAAAUACCAUGGUUAAACUAUGGUUAGUGUAGCAAAACAUGUUUAAUUUGUUUUUACCAUGUUUACCUAUAGUAACCAUGUUUUUUUGCUCGUAACCACGGUUAAUUUUCGUAACGGAUAUUUUAUGUUAUUUUAUAUCUUUUUAUUUUACGACGUGUAUUUGUGAAAAUGGUUAGGCUAUACGUUUAGCACACACACAGCUGUGCAUUUCAAGGCACUUCAGUAGACCUUUAAUGUUACCUAUGUUUUGUAAAUGUUAAAAUUAUUUUUAAUAUAUAAAUAAAAAAGUAUGACAGGCUUUUACUCUAGUCUUUAUCACUUUAUUAAGAUUAAGCAAAACAAAACGACAAAUGUUUACUUUCACAAGCCGUCACGUAGGCUUGUAGUAAGCGGUCUCUUGCCUGGAGACUCAAUCAGGUAACAAAAAGAAUCGGGAAACGACACCUCUGGCCAUUCCGUUGGGUCGUUUGUCCAGUCACCGAUACCGUACGGAGAGUCCGACACAAUACGGCUCAGUUUUUCGACGUAUCGAGCAGCAGAAAUUAUUUUAUGUACACGUUUUCCAAUGAGGGGGAAACGUUCGUUUUUCCCCACGCUGACUCCGCCCACACAGCUAUGACACGACACCGACCAAGUCAAUUAGUGGUUAGUGAACCUGUUCAUUUAAACAAAUAAAUACAAAAUACAUAAAAGACGAUAAGAGUAGUCAAUAAUACAUUUUCUGUUAUACAGAUUUUCUGAAUAUGUUAGCUAGAGGUUAAGAACGUUACGAUAGAUUUUUCAUUUUGGGUGAACUAUUCCUUUAAAUCAGCAGAGGAAGAAGAGAGAGUCCUAAGUGACUCAUAUAAAUGGAGUGUGCAAGGAGGGAGAAUCUGGGUUUGAGUGUAUUGGUUGGUGUGUCUUUGUGGUUUUAUACCACCUCAGUAUGGUGUAGACUCAAGCAGGAUGUUAGGUCAUGGAAUUACAUGUCACUGUACGAAAUUCUGCUUCUCUCCUCCAGAAUGCAAGGUUCAGCAGGUCAAAGACACAAUGGCUACAUGUGACCUGGAGACUGAGACCAGCUCUCCACAUAAGUUUGUUUGUGCAGUAGUGUGUCAUAGCUGUGUUGUUCACAAACAAGCAGAUGGUAGUAUUUAAGUCAUAGUUGAUUUGUUUUCUGUGAAACAGUGCAACUACUUUUUUUCUACAUCCUAUCCACUUUAAGGAAAGAGGUACCACCUCACUCCAUGCACGUACUAAAGCCCUGCCCUGUAAACUGUUAAUCUGAAAGUAAUUUAGCAGGGCAGGUUAAAUGUGAUGCACAUUCUGUUUAUGAUAAAAUGAUCUAAUGGAGUGAUCUAAUAAUCUCUUUACUAGUUUCUAUAACAAAGUAUAGCAUACACUGUUAGACAUUUCUGUAAUUUCUGCAGUUAUUUACUGUAUAUCACCCAGUAUAAUACUGAAAAUUCCCUUUACAGUAAAUAACUGUAAUACCCUUUGCAUAAUGGGAAUUUUCUGUGACGUCAGACCUCAUAUACAGAGACUUACUCUAUUUUUUAAAGUUGCUGUAUACAACUGUAUUUGCUGUAACAGCCUUUUUGGCGCCAUUGAGGUUGUUUUAUUUUCCUAAUUUCUUACAUUUGGAUUGACGAUUUGCCCUGCACCGCGUCUAACGCCGCAACAGCUUGGGACUGACUACACUGGAUGUGUUACAUCGCUUGUAAUGAUUGGAAAAUCCUUAUGAGAGAAUAAGACCUGCAAGCAUGGCAACUGCAAUGAAGCAUCAAGAAAGACAUGAGCAGGCCAGCCACCCUGAGACUGAUAAUUCAUGAGAAGACAUUUCUGUCACUUACAAAGUGGAGGAUUCGUUGUGAGGAUAAAUCCAGAGGACACAACAUAAUGCACUGCAAAACGUCCUAAGACAGGAGAAAUGGUGAAGAUGCACUGUUCCAGCGUUGGAAG